UAAUUGAAGCCAAAAUAGAGGCUUUUCAUUGUUAAUGAAAUUAUUGAUUUUUAAAUCCAAUUAAAA
rnacentral:tRNA from 1 species